rnacentral:rRNA from 1 species
GGCGAACGCUGGCGGCGUGCUUAACACAUGCAAGUCGAACGGAAAGGCCUGCUUUCCCUUGUGGAUUGCGGGUACUCGAGUGGCGAACGGGUGAGUAACACGUGAGUGAUCUGCCCCCAACUUGGGUAUAAGCCUGGGAAACUGGGUCUAAUUCCCGAUAGGACUGCAGGGUGGUGCCUGUGGUGGAAAACGAUUUUCUAGUGGUUGGGGAUGAGCUCGCGGCCUAUCAGCUUGUUGGUGGGGUAAUGGCCUACCAAGGCGGCGACGGGUAGCCGGCCUGGGAGGGGGGACGGCCACAUUGGGACUGAGAGACGGCCCAGACUCCUACGGGAGGCAGCAGUGGGGAAUAUUGCACAAUGGGCGGAAGCCUGAUGCAGCGACGCCGCGUGGGGGAUGACGGCCUUCGGGUUGUAAACUCCUUUCGACCGCGAGGAAGCCACCUGGUUGGAAGGGUGGUGACGGUAGUGGUAGAAGAAGCACCGGCUAACUACGUG